UAGGUGGCAAGCGUUGUCCGGAAUUAUUGGGCGUAAAGCGCGCGCAGGUGGUUUCUUAAGUCUGAUGUGAAAGCCCACGGCUCAACCGUGGAGGGUCAUUGGAAACUGGGAGACUUGAGUGCAGAAGAGGAUAGUGGAAUUCCAAGUGUAGCGGUGAAAUGCGUAGAGAUUUGGAGGAACACCAGUGGCGAAGGCGACUAUCUGGUCUGUAACUGACACUGAGGCGCGAAAGCGUGGGGAGCAAACAGGAUUAGAUACCCUGAUAGUCCACGCCGUAACGAUGAGUGCUAAGUGUUAGGGGGUUUCCCGCCCCUUUAGUGCUGCAGCUAACGCAUUAAGCACUCCGCCUGGGGGAGUACGGGUCGGCAAGGACUGAAAACUUAAAAGGUAUUUGGACGGGGGGCCGCAACAAGGCGGUGGAAGGCAUGGUGGUUUUAAAUUCGAAGCCAACCGCGAA
rnacentral:rRNA from 1 species